rnacentral:rRNA from 1 species
GACCUCAAGUCAUGUGAGAGUACCCGCUGAACUUAAGCAUAUCAAUAAGCGGAGGAAAAGAAACUAACAAGGAUUCCCCUAGUAACGGCGAGUGAAGCGGGAAGAGCACAAAUUUUAAAUCUACCUGGUUUUCAGGUUGAGUUGUAAUUUGAGGAUACGUUUUUGAUAUUCCUGGUUGGACUAAAUCCUUUGGGAUAAGGUAUCAUAGAGGGUGAGAAUCCUGUGUAUACCAACCACAGGGAUGUUAUUUAAUAACGUUUUUAAGAGUCGAGUUGUUUGGGAAUGCAGCUCUAAAUGGGUGGUAAAUUUCACCUAAUGCUAAAUAUAAGCGAGAGACCGAUAGCGAACAAGUACAGUGAUGGAAAGAUGAAAAGAACUUUGAAAAGAGAGUUAAAUAGUACGUGAAAUUGUUGAAAGGGAAACGAUUGAAGUCAGUCAUGCCAGUGGGAAUCAACUUAGAGGAAACUCUAGGUGCACUUCUUCGCUUGGCAGGUUAGUGUCGAUUUUGGAUGUCAUAAAAUGACUGGGGGAAGGUAGCUCCUUUGGGAGUGUUAUAGCCCUUGGUAGAUGUGAUGUCUGGAAUCGAGGAUUGCAACGGAUACCCUUUAGGGCUAGUCACCUGAUCUCUAAUUAGUGCUAGAUUACGGACAGCAUGCUGACCGUGAUCUAAUUAUUGGUUAAAAGGUUAGAGCGUGCAUAAAUUCAUUAAGGACGUUGACGUAAUGGCUUUAAACGACCCGUCUUGAAACACGGACCAAGGAGUCUAACAUAUAUGCGAGUGUUU